UCCUCAGUAGCUCAGUUGGUUAGAGCAUCUGACUGUUAAUCAGAGGGUCGCUGGUUCGAGCCCAGCCUGGGGAG
rnacentral:tRNA from 1 species